rnacentral:rRNA from 1 species
GACGAACGCUGGCGGUGUGCUUAACACAUGCAAGUCGAACGGUAAGGCCCUUUCGGGGGUCCACGAGUAGCGAACGGGUGAGUAACACGUGAGUAACCUGCCCUCAUCUCUGGGAUAACAGUCGGAAACGGUUGCUAAUACUGGAUAUGAGCUUGCAAGGCAUCUUGUGGGUUGGAAAGAUUUUUUUUGGUUGGGGAUGGACUCGCGGCCUAUCAGCUUGUUGGUGAGGUAGUGGCUCACCAAGGCUUCGACGGGUAGCCGGCCUGAGAGGGCGACCGGCCACAUUGGGACUGAGAUACGGCCCAAACUCCUACGGGAGGCAGCAGUGGGGAAUAUUGCACAAUGGACGGAAGUCUGAUGCAGCAACGCCGCGUGCGGGAUGACGGCCUUCGGGUUGUAAACCGCUUUCAAUUGUGACGAAGCUUUUUUGUGACGGUAGCAGUAGAAGAAGCACCGGCUAACUACGUG